rnacentral:rRNA from 1 species
UACAGAGGGGGCAAGCGUUAUUCGGAAUUAUUGGGCGUAAAGGGCGCGUAGGCGGCUUUGCAAGUGACGGGUGAAAUCCCUCGGCUUAACCGAGGAACUGCCUGUCAAACUGCAUGGCUUGAGACCAGGAGAGGUGAGUGGAAUUCCCAGUGUAGCGGUGAAAUGCGUAGAUAUUGGGAAGAACACCCGUGGCGAAGGCGGUUCUCUGGGACGGUACUGACGCUGAGACGCGAAAGCGUGGGGAGCGAACAGG